UGUUCCAGUAGACAAAACGGUAAAGUCACCACUCUUUCAAAGUGGAUAUUUGAGGGCUCAAAUCCCUUCUGGAACGCCAG
rnacentral:tRNA from 1 species